rnacentral:rRNA from 1 species
AGUGAACGCUGGCGGUAGGCCUAACACAUGCAAGUCGAACGGCAGCACAGUAAGAGCUUGCUCUUACGGGUGGCGAGUGGCGGACGGGUGAGGAAUACAUCGGAAUCUACUUUUUCGUGGGGGAUAACGUAGGGAAACUUACGCUAAUACCGCAUACGACCUCCGGGUGAAAGCAGGGGAUCUUCGGACCUUGCGCGAUUGAAUGAGCCGAUGUCGGAUUAGCUAGUUGGCGGGGUAAAGGCCCACCAAGGCGACGAUCCGUAGCUGGUCUGAGAGGAUGAACAGCCACACUGGAACUGAGACACGGUCCAGACUCCUACGGGAGGCAGCAGUGGGGAAUCUUGGACAAUGGGCGCAAGCCUGAUCCAGCAAUACCGCGUGGGUGAAGAGGGCCUUCGGGUUGUAAAGCCCUGUUGUUGGGAAAGAAAAGCAGCAGGUUAAUCCCCCGCUGUUCUGACGGUACCCAAAGAAUAAGCACCGGCUAACUUCGUG